UGGCUCUCGCAACGAUGAAGAACGCAGCGAAAUGCGAUAAGUAAUGUGAAUUGCAGAAUUCAGUGAAUCAUCGAAUCUUUGAACGCACCUUGCGCCCUUUGGUAUUCCGAAGGGCACACCUGUUUGAGUGUCAUUAAUCUCUCAACCUUGCCAUUUUUUUUAAUUAAAGUGUCAGUGGUUGGAUGUUGAGUGUUGCUGGACAUUUUUGCUUCAGCUCACUUUAAAUUUAUGAGCAGGCUCCUACCAUUUUGGACUGACUCAACGUGAUAAGAAAUUUUGUUGAGGACACUUUACAGUGGCCAAGUUGUAGGGAAUUGCCGCUACUAGUUGACUUUUAUAUUUUAGACCUCAAAUCAGGUGGGACUACCCGCUGA
rnacentral:misc_RNA from 1 species